AAGUCGUAACAAGGUAACCGUAGGUGAACCUGCGGUUGGAUCAUUACCAAUUAUUCAAUUAUUUCUCAUAUUGUUUGGUUGUUUGGAGAAAGAAUUUUUUUUCUUCUUCAAUCAAGUCAAUUUAUGAGAAAAACAUUUUGUGAACAAGUAAUUGUUUUUUGGUGGUUUUUGUUUUUUAUAAAAGCCUUUAAUUUUCUUAAAGGUUUUGCUCUAGUUUUUUUGCUGGAGUGAGGCCACCAAAAGGACUUUUUUCACUGUCUUUUUUUUCAAAGGCAGCUUGGUUUAAAAGGUCUUUUAAACAAACUCAUUAUUAUUAUUAUUAUUUUCUUUUAAAAACAAUAAAAGCCAAUAGAAAAACAACUUUUAACAACGGAUCUCUUGGCUCUC
rnacentral:misc_RNA from 1 species